AAAUACCUGUUGCAUAACAGCCUGCAAGUUUCUCUGCAUUCACUAUUUGGCAAGUUAUUUUAACCCAAGACCAAUGGCAGCUGAUGCUAAUUUUUCUGGCUGUGAACACUGGGAAUGAAGAUUCAGCAUAUAUAUUUUACUGAGGCUAGGCUGGAUGCUAACCUUGGAGAGUGGAGGAGGGGAGGAAGGAAGGCAGACUGCUGGGAACACACCAUACUGGUAUCUUAUAUCAUCCCAAAGGAUCACCAGAGUUUUAUGAAAGGAUUCUUUUGUAGUCCCAUUAGCAGCAAUACAAACACUUUCAAAAGCAAGAUAUAAGUCAACGGAGCAAUUUCUCAACAAGUUUUAUGCGUUACCGGCAAGCCUUGAGAGCUGGGGAUGCCCGUGGUGCGGCGAGUCAAACACCGGGUUUCUGCAGAGAGGGCAUGGGACUGGCCGAACAGCUACGGCGCUUGGUCUCCACUUCCACCCCUGGCAAGAGUCACUUCCCGAAGGACCCUUUUCUUGAGGGAUCAGGAACUGGUACUGGUCUGAGAUUCCCGAAAAAAAACCCCAGACUGGCUGUGUUAAAAACACUGUGGCCGUGUCUGCCCAUGCACAGAGUUGCAUGCUGAUAUUUCAAAAAUGCUGUAUUGCAGGUGCUGUCACACAUGUUCAUGUUCUUUUUGUUAUGCCCCAUCCCUGGCCGUGUUCAAGGCCAGAUUGGACAGGGCUUUGGGCAACCUGGUCUAGUGGAAGGUGUCCCUGCCCAUGGCAGGGGGCUGGAACUGGGUGAUUUUAAGGUCCCUUCCAACACAACCCAGGCUGGGAUUGUAUGAUUCUAUAAGUAGGGAGUCUAGGGUUGCAAAUAAACUAAAAAUCAUAAUAAAAUAAACCUGUAAAAUCA